CGUCCCGGGGCCCUGUGGAGGGUUCCCGGCCCACUGUGACACGGGGGGGAAGUAAUUUCGGGAGAAACGAACGAGGCGUCUCGUUCCCCGAAAGGCAAAAUGACACCGAGCACACCAAAACUUCUCGGGGGGGACACGUCCUCAGCCAGGUCUCAGGGAAAUCGCUCCAGCAAAGCAUCCCCUGCACUGGGAACUGCGGGAGUUUCACCAGGAGGGCUGUGCGGUAGAAAUGUCUCAGCCUGAAUCAGGUUUUUACCUAUCGCGCCUAUCAGUGGGGUAAGGAAUUUCUCUACCUUCUCUCAGCUCUGUAUCCCAAUUACUUUUAACGCUUGACUUUUGCUGCCUUGCUGGGGCUGAGUAUCCCAGGCAUACAGGCAGUCCCACGGGAGACACUAAUGUGCAGUACUGUAUCUCUGCAAGAGCGGUAAACUCAGCUCCUCGGAGCAGGCUGUUGCCAUUCAUUUUUGAUUCGCUCAUUAGCACUGUGGGAAUGGUGCAGCAAGAAGUCAUGCAUUUUUCCUUAAGUGUGGACUUGUUUAACUACCUGGAAUAUAAACCAUGCUGAGAAGAGUUCUUAAACCAAUGCAGUGCAGCCUUCUCUGAGGAAUGAUCAAGGGUCCAGGAACCUCUUAUAUGAAAAGUGGGCAAAAACACUGAUUUUUUCUUGUUUACCAGCCAUUUGUAUAGAGAAAAGGAUACCCUCUCCCAAGACAUCCAUCCACAUGGCGCACAUCGUGCAGAUACACCACCCUGUCAGGGGUCAUCUAUCCCCAGCCAUAUGGCUACACGAGCAAGCCUCUCUUGCCGAAGUACAACACAUGCUGAUGUGAUCAUCCUCUUUCUCAGCCUGGAGCUGUCACUUGGUCUUUGCCAGCUUGGAAUCACAGAUUCAUGAAUCACAGAAUCAUCUAGGCCGAACAGACCUUCAAGAUCACCAAGUCCAAGCAUCAGCCUGAUCUACUGAGUUCCAUCACUAAACCACAUCCCCUACAGCCUCAUCCACAGAUCUCUUAAAUACCUCUAAGGAUGGGUACUCCACCACUUCCCUUGGCAGACAAUGCCUGAUAAGCAUUAUGCUAAAGACCAACAUUUUUAUCGGGUAAUUUCAUGGUUACAUCAUUUAGAGUGUAAACUACUUAGAAGCUUUCCCAACUUGGUAAAAGAGUUAAUUACCAAGAUACAUUCAGGAAUUUCUCAAUAUACAGAGUUACUCUAUUCUAGUUCUUAUGCUGACGUAUCCCUUACUACCAUAGUUAGUUAAUAUUGUGCUAUCUCUGCUUGCACUCCCAGUUAUGCAUCAACAUGCCCCUAAGGUGAGUCUCAAAGGCAAACAUGGGCACUUCAAGUGCAAUUUGGAUGGAAGCUAGGCAUUUCCCAGACAUCUGGACAAAAUCUCUGAUGACCUGAGGUAAGCACAGAGGUACCUGCAACACCAGAGGCACACAACAAAAGCUUUUCCAGGAGCUGUAGGACACCAUAGCUGCAUUAACUGGUGUAGCCAGCUCAGCUCACCCAGCUGCCUCUGCAGACCUGAGCAUCCUACAAGCCCACCAGGACUCGGGCACAGGGUUCAUUUCACCUCACCUACCACUCACUGUAAAGGUAGUUCACACACAGCUCGGAUGUACCUAUCCAGCUUUGAUCAGAUCAAGGCCACCCAGGACACCACUAUAGAGAUUUUCUUCACUCUCUCCCCAUUCUUCGGAGGAGCAAAACAUACCACAACACUGAAUUCUGGUCAAAGCCCUGCUGUCCACACCACUAUAGUCAUUGUAGAAAACAGCAGCGAUACAAUAAAAGCCAUGUUGCAAGCCUCUCCCUGACAGAGGGGUGUGAACUCACAACUCCUACACAACAGAAGAGCAGUCCAACCAAGAAAUGGUACAGCCAGGAAGAGGCAGCAAGGAAGAACAACACAAGUCUGUUCCUCACCUCCAUUGCCUGUUAGCACUGAGCCCCUGUGUAGCUGGGAAUAGGUCAUGGGUACGGCUGUGUGGAGGGAGAGCACAGAAGACACAAAAAAAAAAAAAAAAAAAAAAUUACAGUGGUGGACAAACAAGCAAACAAAAUGUGAGCAUCUGUGGAGGAAGAUAGAACUUGAAAUAACAUUUUAUGUAUCAACACCUGUACAAGAACCGAUGUAUCCUGUCAGCUUAUCUCGGAAAAUACCCAGGAGCUAUGGAACAGCUCUAGAGACAGAUGGCGAACAAACAGACGUAUAGGAAAAACUUUCAGGUAGAGAUUGGGACUGUUUAAUUGAAAGAGAGAACAAGGGAAAACUGAAAAAUGUACUGAGGAAAAAAAUAUAAUUCUUUUAGUACAAGAGCAAGGCAAUAGACAGUGACAGCAACAAACAUAGAUCUGAUGAAAGAAAACGCUUUUUUCCUAAGAAAAAUACCGCGUAUUACUAGUUCAUUGAAUUAAUUCACAAGAGCAGGCCAGCUGUUUGAAAGAUCUGAAGAAAAAUGCUUGGAUGUACUGCAUGUAUUCAAUAGGAAUCAUACACACAUUAGAAGAAAAAAUAUAUUUUUUUUUAAAAUGAGGCUGUAAACCCAUAUUCUUCAGGGAAUUAGACUUAUUGGGUUCUACAUGGAACUGAAAGGUAAUUGUGCAGCCUCUAAUUUCUUCUCUGAAGCUGGCCUCCACAUACAACAUUAAACCAGGCCAGAUGAACUUCUAAUGUGGCUGCCACAGGCAGUAACUAAAUAUUUGGAACUUAUUUACCUUGAGAAAAGGAAAUGGAAACAGAGAAGAGAGAAGUAAGCAAAAGUGCGCAGAAUACAAGAAGAUCAAUAAAUGAUAAAGUGUGAAAGGAAAGAAAAAAAAAAAACAGUAAAACUGACAGCAAAAUAAGUUCAAUAUUAUAGAGGUCAAUGUGUCAUUGGACUACUAAAG